GGUGACAACUCGGUCACACUACUCGAGAUUCCUAACUUGGCCUCAAUUGCUACUCUCUGACAUCACUACACUCUAUUGGACUAUCUCACGGCACAAUAUCGCCUUAUCAAAUUAUUUCUGGCUUGAUUUGCAUCACUAAUUUCUGGCUUCUGAAAGUCGCUGAUGUACACGUCUCGAUCGACUAUUUAUGACAGUAACAAUACUUCAGUUGAAGAAUAAUCCAGAGCAUCGUUUAACUUGCAGAAUCGAAAUUAUAUUACUACCCUUCGCCAUAUAAAUAUAUUAUAUACAAAUAAUAUAUACACGUUGUGUCAAAAAGUUGAACACGUCGUCACAUAAGCACUUAUCAAAUAAUUUACAUGCUUUGAUAUUUAAAUAAAUAUAAAUAUAAUUUAAUAAAUCAUGUAUAUAAUCUUAUAUUUUGAUUAUAUACAAACAAUUAACAGAGUGACAAUAUAACCCUGGCAAUAAUCCAUUUCAAAAAUAUAACCCAAACUAAUCUGAAUCACAAAUCCAAUUGUAAUUCAAUCACACCUCACAUCAACUCAAAAUCUCAUCAAACUAAAUUAAUAAAAUAAUAUAAUUUUGGACAUCAUGUAUUUUAAAAUCGAGCAAACCCCAACUCAAUAACACAACAAUCUAUGUCCAAAAAUAUAAAUAUACAUCACAAUGUCAAAACAAUCAAAGCCCGAAAAUAAUCUUUGACACUAAACACGUAUUAUUUUAAUAAUAAUAAUACAAUUUGUAAUUCCAUUCACAUUCCAACUAUUUAAAAUUAAACUCUAGAUGCAAAUUCUUAAAGCAUCACAUAUUACUCGCAUAUGAUAAGUCAUAAAACACGUAUCAUUCAUCGAUGGCAAUAUCAAUAUUGUAUAUAAUCAAGAAUUCGCAUUAUUCGAUCUCAAGGACAACCUUUAUUCGUCAAUACUCGAGACAGAAAUAGAAUAUAAUUUAAUCAAUUAUUAAUCAUUAAGAUUAUUAAAAGUAUCACUUAUCAUUAUCAUUAUCAAUUGAACCGAUAAUAAUAAUAAUACCGAUAAUAAUAAUAACUCAACAAUACAUAAUUAAUUAAUAAAAUAUCUAUCUCUCGGCCUAUCUGGUUUAGUUUCAUAAGCAAUAGCCGGAUUUCUGGCCAUUUGAAUCCACUCCAACAAUCACCACUGCAUCCUUCUGCAGCCUCCCCUCUCUCAACCCAGUAGUUUACCUCAACCAAUUUCCAACUCAUACAAACAUGCACCAUCACAACAUGCCAACAGUUGCUCCCCCUGCUAACAACUAAACCGAAAACAACCACCUCCAGGUGGUGCCAGGUGCAGCUAAACAUAACAAAUCCAAAGCCUUUUUUUCCAUCUCCAUCCCCAUCUCUAUCAGUCUCACUGGCUGAUGCUUUUUGUUACCAACCUUGAACUAUUAAUCCACUACUCCUCCGUCAUGCCCCAAUCUAUAUCUUCUAACCCACCACAAACCAAAUACAUCCAAAUCAACCCACAACCAAGUUCUGUCCCGCCCCGGCUUCUUCCACCACGACUCCAGUGUAACUUUGUAAACGCCAACAAUAACUAAAACAACUCACCACCAUCAUCUCCUUCAAAACAGUCCCUCACUUCCCCUGCGAUUCUGCUCCAAUCUACUCAACUACCGGAAACGCAGCAGCCCCCUCACACAAGCAAAUUCCCAGCCAGACUUGGCAUCUCGACACCCUUCAAACAGCUCCAAAUUCCCACGGCGGUAACACAGCCUCACGGCGGCGCUGGCCUACCCACGCACAGCCACCGGUCGCUCUCCCUCGAACAGACCCACUGGCCACCUACGUCCAUGCCGCUUGUCACCGCCUCUCUUCAACUGCGCAACACCCCACUACUAACCAACACCCACAACUCGACUGCCACCAUCCUGAGUUCCAACAACGCGGGGUUGCCGCUCUCUCUGCUGCAGAUACAAACGCCGGCCAGCCAACAAACAACUACCUACCGUCGCCCUCCCUUUUCCUCCGACAAACAAUCAGCCCCAUACUCCAUGAUCGAACACCAACACAUAUACAACCCAUCUCUUUCAUCAGCCAACACCAGCCACCGCACCACUCCGGCCGCCGCUAGUUCAGGCCAUCCCUUUCAAUCCCAACAAUUCCAAUCACAAACAAGUAAUACAUACACAUAUAAGCAUGUUUAUAAACUCGACCCUCACCUGAAUCGUGCUCGAAUUGGAUUAAAAGAUUGAAACCCUAGCUUCUACUCUGUUUUCCCCAAAUCGAUCGACGCCUCUGUUUUUGUGUUUUUCUCGGUGUUUCAUGAGUUUUGGGUUUAUAUAUUAACAAGGAAUAGCCACGUUAUACACACGUAACUGCCA
rnacentral:lncRNA from 1 species